UUAGUAUAAAUUCUUUAGGUUCCUUUUUCUUGCUUGGAUCGGAAUCAUCUGAAAGGGCUCAGGAGCCAGCUGUCGCUCUGUGUUUUUUGCUACUGAGUCACUGUUUCUGACAAGCCUCUCCUGAGUGUGGGCCCUCAUUUCCUUGUCUAGAGUGGGGUUGAGCAAUGUGAUUUCUAAGGUUCCUUCUGGCUCUGACAUUCUGUGUGCCUUUGUUCCACACCCUUUUUCAGUGAUGCCAGUGCCAGGGGGUACAGCCUCAGGGAUGUAUAACAGGGUUUUCCUCCACAAAACUGGCAGAAUUGUUCUGGGUUCUUAUUUGAAAAUGUGGCAUGUGGCCUCUCAUCAGUGCUUUGGCCAUUUUGCAUGCACUAACUCACAGAGAAUGCAGGCUACACCCCAGCUGGUGAGCAUCACCAUCAUCUCUAUGCCCACUGGCUUUCUGUUUGGCUGGAGGGAAGCUGAGGACAAGAGGAUGUUAGGUUGGAGCACAGGGAGGCCUGUGGAAGGCAGGGACGGUGUAGAGUCUGGCCCAGCUGAAAAUGGGCUUGGGGAGCCUGGCCAGUCCUUCAGGUCCAUCUGGGCAAACCUAGUCUUCAAAGGGCAGAGUCACAAGGACCUCAAAUGCUACUUACCUCCUCCAGUACUAACAUUUGACACAUCUAAUGCCUAUUCAUUGUUGUGAAGUUCAAAUGAGGUAACUCAUGAGGAAGUGCCCACAAAACUAAACACUUAUGACACACUCUCAAACACACUCUCAAACAAUAAGAAUUACUAUCAUGAGCUGCCUGACUCCACAAGAUUUUAGUGCUAGGUGCUAGGGACAGAAAAGUGAAAAAAAGAUGCUCAGUUAAUUAGCAUACAAUGUGAUGCUACCUCUAACAAUAGACUUUGGAUGAUGUCUUAGUUCAAGCUGCUCUAACAAAAUACCAUAGAUUGGGUGACUUACACAGCAAACGCUUAUUUCUCACAGUUCUGGAGGCCGGAAAGUCAAGAUCCAGGCACUGGCAGAUUUGACGUCUGGUGGUUCAGCCUUCUCACUGUGUCCUCACAUGGCAGAUGGGAUGAGACAGCUCUCUGGGGUCUCUUUUAUAAGGGCAUGAAUCCCGUUCAGGGGAGCUCCACCCUCAUGACCUAAUCAUAUCCCGAAGGCCCCGCCUACACAUAGCAUCAGAUAGGGAAUUCUGCCUCAACCUAUGAAUUUUGAGAGGACACACACAUUCAGUCCAUAGCAACGGGCAAAGCUUGUGAGAGCACAGAGGAAGGAGUUUUUAAUGUUCAACACUCUGCUCGUGGGGGUGGAAGCCUCCAUAGCAGCACUGACAGUUUAACCUGGUCUGGAAAGAUGGCAAAGACUGCACAGGUGGAGGGAAUGGGCAUCCUAGCCUGAGUGAGUGGCAGCGUGCUGGAGAGGCUUAUGGAAACCUCUGGUAAUCUGGCCUGGUGGCUGGGUGGGGUGGGUGGGACCAUGUGGGGGAAGCUGCGGAGGGAGCUGGUGAUCAAAUUAGGAAAGGUCUUGGAUAAUCUAUGAGGAGCCUGGACUUCGCUGAAUUUUUCAGUUACCAGGUUUUAAAAAACUUUUUAUUUCAGUUUUUGGCUGAAAGAAGAAGCUAUUAUUUUAAUUUUAUUUAAAACCUGCCUGUGGAUCUAUAAUAGGCAAAACUUAACUCAAAUAGAUUUAAUCAUAGCCUUGCUGCACUGUCCUGUUAAUUUUGCUACUCUCCUUCCUCUUAGAGCUUCCACGUAGAAUACAUUUAUCUUCUCGCUCUAGUCUCGUCUUGAUUGAAAUAUUGGAGUGAGAGAUAGAAGGUGGGAUCUUUAUUUUUUUUUCUCUGUAUACAGAAUAAUGCCUAUUUUAGAAUGUGGAAAAUACUAAAAACUAUAAAGAUGAAAAAAGAAAUUUACCCUCUGGACAAGGUUGGUAGAAGAUGAGUGGUUGAGCUCCAGUAGAAUCAGUUUUGUUCAAAUCCUAAUUUUUUCACAUAUUACCUGUAAGACCUUGGCAAUUUACUAUCUCCAGGCCUCAGUUUCCUCAUCUGUAAAAUGGGAAUAAUAAUCACAAUACCUACCUCCUAAAGUUCCUAUUGGGACUAAAUCAUUUUCUUCAUGCAAAGCACUUAGGAAAGUGCUGUGUACAUAGCAAAUAAUUAAUAUUUCUUAUGGGUUAUUGCAACACCCUCUGGGUGAGUUCAGCCCUAGAGGAAAGUAGGUGAGUUCCCUUGGGGAAGGGUCUUUCUGCCUCCAUGUUCUACAUCAGGAAAGUGGAGAAGCUUGUCAUACCACAGGAUGAGGCUAGUGCCGAGUCACAGACUGGUGUGUGUUCAGAGUUUUUCCCUGGAGGAUGCUAGCUUAUCCUCCCUUGCUCCUUCCUUUCUAGCAUUUCCACCCACCUCGGGCUCUUGGGGCAGGCUGUCCCUUUAAGAAAGAGAGCCACACAUUCUGCUCCUGACAGUGGCCCUGCCUCCCUUGCUAGAUACCUUGCUGGGCUGUGGUUGGGACACUCCUGGGCUGGAUUUUAGUACUGAAGCCUCCAGAGGAGGGGGCACUGCUUCAAAUCAAGCACACCCCACCCCAGGAAUCCAUGCCCACAGAAGGACUCCCUGUCUGCAGCCCCCUGCUGUGGCCCUGGGCUCCCAGCACCCAGCUCUGGGACAUCAGAAGAUAAUUCUUGAGGACUGAGCUCAGGAUUCCUAAAAAGAAAGUUGGAAAAUAGCUGGAUAAACUUGGUAAGUGAAAGAAAGCCGCGUUACAUCCUCUUCCUUGGAUUGUGGAUUGCAGAUUUUGGGUUGAGUUCUGGUGACUCUUGCCAGUGGUAUCUGAUGGGCAAAUGUGAGAAGGAGGAGACAGAGGUGGGGACUGGGAUCCCCAGUGGGUAGCGAGUCUUGAACUUGGGGAUAGCCCCCCACCUUAUCCUGGUGGUUGUCAACCUUGAGGCAGGGAGCUGGGGGUUGACAUCUGAACAUAGCUGGAGCCUGGCCCAAGGAGUGAAGAUCCGGGAGGGGCAGAUGUCAGAUUUCUCCCUCAUUUGGGAAAAACAAAGUGUGGUCAGUGAGUGCUGUUUGUGAAGAUGCCAGAGACCAGUGACAUUUGCAGCCUGAGGGUGAAAUGAGUGACCCUGUGAGUGUAUCUCAGGAGGAGACUUGGACCAAUUCCUCUUCUUCCUAUAGGGUCAGGGGACAGACCAGGCCUGGGCCCCAAGAAAUCUGCGUUGUCUCCUUGGAUUGAGGCAGCUGCCCAUGAGCAGCAGCGGACAGUGUCGUAGUGGGAGGAGGCAGGUCUGCCAAGGGCAGGGAAGAAUGGAGGGCCUGUUACUGCUGAAGCCUGGGAACGCUGCCUGGGGGGAGGCCCACGCUCCCCAGAGCUGGAGUGAGAAGGAAUGGGAGGAGAAGUCUAUGCAGCAGGGGGAUGGGCUCAGCCAGCAUCCCCACCCUCUGCAGAGCAAAUGCCCCCGUCCCAUUUCCUGUGGCAUGGACACAGGUGAGCUUCCUGGCCUUGAAUGCUCAGGUACAGUUUGGAGGGCUGGGGUCUGUUACAAAGAGGUGGCCUCCCAUGGAGGAAGCAGGAAAUGCUAGAAGCCUCAGCCCCUGGCACUCACCCGAGGGUUUCCAAAUCAGAGACACUUUCUGCUAAAUUAUGCUUCAACAGAUGUUUUCUGUGUUCCUACUUGUGCCAGGCUUUGUGCUGGGGAUUUACCAAAAUAUAAUAUGGCAUGGUGGAAUUGGGAAGGUGUGCAGAGCUGGAAAGAUAUUUUGGAUGUGAGAUUAAAGCCAUUUUUGAAAAGUAACAAUAAUAGUUACCAUUUAUUCUGUACCUUGAAUGCACCAAUCACUCUGCUAAAGGCUUUGCAUCUCCUUUAAUUCUUGCAGUAGUUUAUUGACUUGUGACUAAUUUUGUAGAUUUCAAAGAUUAAGAAACUAAGGCUCAGAGAUUAAGGACCUUUCCUUAAAGAUGCAGGGCUGGUAAAUGGCAAAGCCAGGAUGAACCUCUUAAGUCGUCUAACCAUUUAUUCAUUUGUGUGUUCAACAAAGUUGAAUUGCUGGCCUACUGUGUGACAGCCAUUGUAGAGGGCACUCAGGACACAGCUGGGACAGGGAAGGGUCCAGGGCAGCCUAACUCCAUAGCCUGGGUCCUCACCCCCAGCCAGAGCCCUUCACACUGGGCCCCAGAGACCCCUGGGAACAUUGUGUGAUUGUUUUCUCCAAGGUCUGAGACUCUGCUUGAGAAUGUGCUUUUCCUUGAGAAAUGUUUCUUUGUUUUCAUUUUAAUAAUAAUACUGUAAAAAUUGGAGGCAUUUAUUCUGAAUCAUCUGAAUGACCACCAUAUAACCUACUAUUGGCAUGCGAUUUUAGUCCCCAGGUUUGUGUUUCUGUGCAAGUUGGCACCGAGUGGUUUCCUAAAAUGAUAGUUUUUAACUUUCAAUGCUUUGUUUCUCAAACUGGGCUCUACACUGUGUGCUUCAAAGGCCCAAAGAUUAAGAAAG
rnacentral:lncRNA from 1 species